UACGUCCACAUCACGUUGAAACACUGGUUCUCGUCUGAUCACUGAAGUGAAGCAACGUCCAGCCUGGUCAUUACCUGAAUGGUUGACCGCUUGGGAAUAUCAGGUGUGGU